rnacentral:snoRNA from 1 species
UUUGAGGUGAUGAUCCUUUCCCCAAAUUAUCGACUAUGAUUAUACUGUGCGAUUUUUCGAGCUCUUCUCUUCGGAGAAGGCGCUCCUAAGCCAGAUGUUCUGAUCGAA